rnacentral:lncRNA from 1 species
CCCUUUUGAGACCUCUAAACUCUGGAAAGUCAUUUCAUUCAGGAACCAUCCAAAGAGAGGAGGGAAUAGGCGGGAUGAUAUUUCCUUGGACAAAGCAUCCCAGGAGAUGUCCGUCCUACACCACCGUGCAGUAGGAAAGCCGCCCUAUUCUCCAGGAGGUGCUUCUAUAGCCGGAAUCUACACACCGUUUACAAUGCGGUGUCAGGACUGGCUGCUUCUCGCUUUCCCGGAUGAGCAGUAGGAGCUGUGCAAAGGAGACAUGGGUCGCUUGCUUUUGUCUAACAGCGGGAUCUGCUCAGUGCUAGGGUUCAAGGGAACCAGCCAGGUUUAGCAAAGGUCUAGCAGCUCAAGGCAGAGUCGGUAGAUGACAUGGAGCUGGAGGUGGAGUGGCGAAGGUGACAUUCCUGGGAAAGCGAUCCAGGGACAAGGCAGCCCGAAUAAAAGUUCCAAGCUCAAGAACAGGCCUUUGGCCAACACGACACAGAUUGCAAGGAUCCGGGGUAACCUGCAUGGAGCACGCCUGCCAGCUCCGGCAUAUUGUCUGACUGUGA